AGUAACAGUAAACCGUUUUUGUGUUGAUCUUGAUGUAUGUUUUGGAUCAUUGUCCUGCUGGAAGAUCCAACCACGGCCCAUUUGAAGCUUUCUGUCAGAGGCAGUCAGGUUUUCAUUUAAUAUCUGUUGAUAUUUGAUAGUCCAUUACGCCAUGCAUCCUUUCUCUGUACCGUCACUUUGGGGUGGUAGUUACAUCCAUCGACUUGGAUAAGCAAGUUACAAGCCAUCGAUAAGGGAAACCUGAGAUCAAGAUACAUCUCAGGUUUUAUUUAUCUAUACGAUAUUUAUUUAUACAUCCAACGAUUUAAACAUACUGGUUCUCCACAAAAGUAUUAAAGAAAGGAUCUCAAAACCGUGAUGUGCCUCCGAACCCUCAAAGCUCCGCUCGCUCGUUUAUUCACAUUGGCAGAAUAUUCCCGAAGUGUUCGCCAGCCUCCUGAAUCAAUAUCCACAAGGUUAUAAUCCACAGUAAGAGCAUUAGCAUGGUCCUUGGCAAACGCACACCAUCAGUUCCGCCAUUCCCACCUGGCUCUCAUUUCCGCGUCCCGCUUUCUCUCACCUAGUCACCUGUUCUUUUUAUUGCUUCCUAAGACCCCACCCUUCUCUUCAUCUCUUUUUUUACUUCCGUUAAUUAAAACACCACGGAAUGGAACGGACUCCGCUUCUGCGUCACUAAAUGGUAAAAUGGUAAAUGGCACACUUAUAUAGCGCUUUUAUCCAAAGCGCUUUACACUGUGUCUCAUUUACCCAUUCACACACCAAUGGUAGCAGAGCUGCCAUGCAAGGCGCUAACUUGCCAUCGGGAGCAACUUGGGGUUCAGUGUCUUGCCCAAGGACACUUUGGCAUGUGGAGUCAUGCUGGCUGGGAAUCAAACCGCCAACCCUACGAUUAGUGGACAACCCGCUCUACCACCUGAUCCACAGCCACCCCGUCACUGUGCAGCUAUCUGUUACAAAUGAAUGGGAAAAUAUCCUUGGCAUCCCUGCAAUUCAAGGAUGUUGUAAUUGGUAAGUUGUGAUGUCAAAAGUAUCUGUACCAAGUUGAUACUAAAAUUUUAAAAAGAAUGAUACGAUAAGUUUUUUUUUCAGUACCGGCAGUACCAAGUAUUCUCCUGCUUUCUGAUUGACUUUCUUUUGUAGGUAUUAAUUAACCGUGAUUUCCACUCAGCCAUCUUACUGGAAUUUGUGUCGGUUAGGAAUAAGACUGAGGAUGGAGUUGUACAGUUUUGUAGUGUGUAUCAUUUGUAAAUAUUGUUAACUUCUUUACCAUAGCCAUGCUGAGGGAGGUGUUGACUAAAUUAGAGAUGGUGCUGGACCAACAAACCACUGAGCUUGCUUCAACUACAGGUGUUCCAGGUGCAGUCUUUGGAUACUGAUGAAGAUUUAUUGCCCUGCAAGAUCUUCCUCAACUGCAUAGUCUGGAGCAAAGGAUGCAACAGAGCCCAGAUUGCAAGCAAAAACUGGGCAGAUGUGCUUGACUGCACCUGGCGCAUAUUGAAGAGGGUGAUUGCUAACUCCCUGGCAAAGAACCUCAAUUGGAGGGGAGUCAAUGGAAAGACUUCACUGUCCGCUCUCCAACUUGGAGAGGUCAUGAUUGAAACCUCUUCACGGCUAAAGCUGCAGAGAUGGAGGUCGAGGGGACCAUGAAGAGGUGGCUCCAGCUGGCAUCAGAUCGAGAGUGCGGGCGCAAGAGAAGACUUUUGAAAACUUUUGCAAAAAGAAGGUAUUUAGAGUGUUUUAACUGUGGUGUCUUUGUUAAUUUGUUAAAAUGUUCAUAUUAUAGUCUAUUUUUGAUUGUUUAUAAAAGUCCUUGCUGUUUUUAAGUGGUUGAAAUUGUGUGUGUGUGUGUGUGUUGGUAGCUGGGUGGCUAUACAGUUGCGGUCGGAAGUUUACAUACCCCUUGCAGAAUCUACAAAAUCUUAAUACUCUUAACAAAAUAAGAUUGAUCAUAAAAAUCCUAAGUUUCUUAUUUAGUACCGCCAUGAAUAAGCUAUUUCACAUAACAGAUGUUUACAUAUAGUCCACAAGAUAAUAGCUGAAUUAAUCAAAAUUACCCCAUUCAAAAGUUUACACACGUUUGAUUCUUAAUACUGUGUGUCGUUACCUGAAUGAUCCACGACUCUUUUUAUGUGUUAUGAUAGUUGUUCAUGAGUCCCUUGUUUGUCCUGAGCAGUUAAACUGCCCACUGUUCUUCAGAAAAAUCCUCCAGGUCCUUCACAUACUUUGCUUUUCCUGCAUAUUUUAGCCCUUUCAAGUAGCGGUUAUAUGAUGUUCCGAUCCAUCUUUUCACACUGAGGACAAUCGAAGGACUCGUACACGACUAUUCCAAAAGGUGCAAACAUUCACUGAUGCUCAAGAAGGUAACAGCAUGCAUUAAGAGCCUGGCUGUAAACGUUGUAAACAGGAUGAUCAUGUAAAUUUUUUUGUCUUCUGGGAUACUUCUUCUAUGCUGUAUUAACCAUCUUUCUGUAAUAAACCUUUUUCACCUCAGAGGACGAGUCUGCAAGUGUUGUCUAAUUUCCACGACACAACUCAGUUUUUACAUUUUUUUAUUUUAUUUUUAAGAAAAAUAAUUAAAAUUCAAUAACCUUUUGACUGUAUGAGGUACCGGUAAAUGAGAAAAAACAUAGUACUACUUUCAUAAAAUGUCAUGUGCAGCUUGAUGCUAAUUAUAGUAAUGUCUAGUAAUUCUGAGUCUUGAACAGUAAACUCUCAAGUGUCAUUGUCAUGUCACAGCAAACCAGCGACUCCGUUUCCCAGAAUGCACCUCAGACUACAAACAUGGCAAACACAAACUACAACUCCGAACCAACACACCGACAUUGUUAACCUUCUCCAGAAUACUAAUCAGACAAACCUGUUACCAGUGAACC